rnacentral:rRNA from 1 species
GAUGAACGCUGGCGGCGUGCCUAAUACAUGCAAGUCGAGCGAACGGACGAGAAGCUUGCUUCUCUGAUGUUAGCGGCGGACGGGUGGGUAACACGUGGAUAACCUACCUAUAAGACUGGGAUAACUUCGGGAAACCGGAGCUAAUACCGGAUAAUAUUUUGAACCGCAUGGUUCAAAAGUGAAAGACGGUCUUGCUGUCACUUAUAGAUGGAUCUGCGCUGCAUUAGCUAGUUGGUAAGGUAACGGCUUACCAAGGCAACGAUGCAUAGCCGACCUGAGAGGGUGAUCGGCCACACUGGAACUGAGACACGGUCCAGACUCCUACGGGAGGCAGCAGUAGGGAAUCUUCCGCAAUGGGCGAAAGCCUGACGGAGCAACGCCGCGUGAGUGAUGAAGGUCUUCGGAUCGUAAAACUCUGUUAUUAGGGAAGAACAUAUGUGUAAGUAACUGUGCACAUCUUGACGGUACCUAAUCAGAAAGCCACGGCUAACUACGUG